UAUAUUUUACUGUACGUCUUCCUACAGUCAGAACAGUACGGUCCAUCUGUGUGGUGCGAAGCAAAUGAGUGACGCUCUUCUAAAUCAUCAAAGAUGAUGUUUCAGGAAUAAAACGUGAACGUUAAAAUCUUUUCUUUUUGAUUCGUCUUGCAACUAAAAUGUUAAGUGAAAGAAAGACAAAUUGAAUGGGGAGAUAAUGUUUAAAUUUGGUGAUUCUUCUUACGUACUUCUGUGAUUCAACAAAUUCAAAUACAAGUGCACGUGUUCUUGCAGGUAAACAUUGGCAGAGACAAUAGGUACCAAUUAAGAACCAUCCACUGACGAUGCCAUCCUAUUUAUCGAUAUGGGCCAGGACGCAGACUUUUUUUUUCUUUAUUUCGUGUAACUUGUUUAUAGUCACUAGUCAACAAUAUACAGGACAGAGAUCUCGCGGAUACUCAACAAGAGGUAGGCGUAG